GCCUGCCUUCCACUGUCAGCCAUUGAUGUAAAGAUCUUUUCUGCAACACAACCUUUACUGAUUCCCUGUGGCUUUACUUCUACAAUAAACUGACCACUUUUCACAGCAACAGGCUCAUUUGCUAGCACGCUUUCUAAAUGAUCCAACAUCUCCUUGGCCUGGCUGGCUCCAAAACCUGGAUCAGCAUCCCUAUGAUGCCAGACUAGGGCACUCUCCUUGGUCUCAAUAGAAGAGCCAUCUGUUGAUUCUGUAUACAACUUCAUGACAGGCUCAGCUAUUUGAAUCCAUCCGAAAUCACUACUCUGUCCACAAGUCUCCCAGUGCUCGUCAACAGACCAUCUCAUGAAAAAGCCAUGUUCAGCAGCAAUUCCAAGCUUCUUGCAAGGAGAGAACCACUUGCCUAAACUUUCCCUUCCUCUACCACUUACAAUAAAAAUAGUGUUCUUCACAUCACUACACAGAGCAUUUAUGAUAGAUAUGACCUCUUGACUUGGGGUCCUGUUGAUGGAUGUUUGAGGCAUUAUAGUUCCAUCAUAGUCCAACAAUAUAGCCCUGUUUUUGGACCUUAAAUAUGCAGAGACAAUAGCAUCAAUAGAUAACUUUCUGAAAUUAGGAUCAAGAGCGACAACUCUGAAACCAAAGCUAAAGCCAAUCCCCCAACAAAGCCUUCUAAAAUGGUCUCUGCAACACCUUUCCAUAUCUUGGAAGAAGCUUCUUGACCAGUAUGCCACAUCGUGUGUGCUGACAUACCUGUAAUGUUUCUCAUGGCGCAAUUGCUUCUCAGAAUCAGACAUUGAAAUUGCCUCAUUCAUUGCCUCUGCAGUUGCUUCAAUGUUCCAGGGAUUGACCCGAAUUGCACCACUGAGUGAAGGAGAACAUCCAAUGAACUCUGAUACAACCAGCAUGCUCUUUCUGGGCCCACUGGAUUCAGAACUAGAUUCUGGCCCAGAAACGCCCUGUCUGCAAACAAUGUACUCAUAAGGAGUAAGAUUCAUCCCAUCCCUCACAGCUGCCACUACAACACACUCUGCAAUUGUAUAGUAAGCAGCUCUUUCACUAAGUGAAACAGGCUUAUCAAUGAACACAACUGGUUCAUAGNUUUCGUUAAUUCUCUUGCAGCUUGCCUGUAUUUCAGCCUGUAUCUCCUCAAGAUCUUUCCCUUUUCC
rnacentral:misc_RNA from 1 species